rnacentral:rRNA from 1 species
GGCGAUGAAGGGCGUGCUAAUCUGCGAUAAGCGCCGGUAAGGUGAUAUGAACCGUUAUAACCGGCGAUACCCGAAUGGGGAAACCCAGUGUGAUUCGUCACACUAUCAUUAACUGAAUCCAUAGGUUAAUGAGGCGAACCGGGGGAACUGAAACAUCUAAGUACCCCGAGGAAAAGAAAUCAACCGAGAUUCCCCCAGUAGCGGCGAGCGAACGGGGAGGAGCCCAGAGCCUGAAUCAGCAUGUGUGUUAGUGGAAGCGUCUGGAAAGGCGCGCGAUACAGGGUGACAGCCCCGUACACAAAAGCGCAUGUGCUGUGAGCUCGAUGAGUAGGGCGGGACACGUGGUAUCCUGUCUGAAUAUGGGGGGACCAUCCUCCAAGGCUAAAUACUCCUGACUGACCGAUAGUGAACCAGUACCGUGAGGGAAAGGCGAAAAGAACCCCGGCGAGGGGAGUGAAAAAGAACCUGAAACCGUGUACGUACAAGCAGUGGGAGCACCCUUUGGG